UGGGGAAUAUUGCACAAUGGGCGCAAGCCUGAUGCAGCCAUGCCGCGUGUGUGAAGAAGGCCUUCGGGUUGUAAAGCACUUUCAGCGGGGAGGAAGGCGGUGAGGUUAAUAACCUCAUCGAUUGACGUUACCCGCAGAAGAAGCACCGGCUAACUCCGUGCAAGCAGCCGCGGUAAUACGGAGGGUGCAAGCGUUAAUCGGAAUUACUGGGCGUAAAGCGCACGCAGGCGGUCUGUCAAGUCGGAUGUGAAAGCCCCGGGCUCAACCUGGGAACUGCAUUCGAAACUGGCAGGCUAGAGUCUUGUAGAGGGAGGUAGAAUUCCAGGUGUAGCGGUGAAAUGCGUAGAGAUCUGGAGGAAUACCGGUGGCGAAGGCGGCCCCCUGGACAAAGACUGACGCUCAGGUGCGAAAGCGUGGGGAGCAAACAGG
rnacentral:rRNA from 1 species